AAGUCGUAACAAGGUAACCGUAGGUGAACCUGCGGUUGGAUCAUUAACAAAUGAUUUGGUUUUUAACCAAAACACUGUGUGCAAUCAUAUCUGUCUCUGGUGGUCGAAUCUUUUUCCUGUUCGCAGGAAGACACCUUGAUCACCAAUUGAACAAACCUUUGUAUUUUUUUUUUCAUGUCUGAAUCAUUCACUUUUGUGCAAUGAAAAAACAACUUUUGACAACGGAUCUCUUGGCUCUC
rnacentral:misc_RNA from 1 species